UACAGGGGGUGCAAACGUUGCUCGGAAUCAUUGGGCGUAAAGCGCACGUAGGCGGUCUGUCGCGUCGGCUGUGAAAACUCGGGGCUCAACUCCGAGCUUGCAGUCGAUACGGGCAGGCUAGAGUUCGGCAGGGGAGACUGGAAUUCCUGGUGUAGCGGUGAAAUGCGCAGAUAUCAGGAGGAACACCGGUGGCGAAGGCGGGUCUCUGGGCCGAUACUGACGCUGAGGAGCGAAAGCGUGGGGAGCAAACAGG
rnacentral:rRNA from 1 species